rnacentral:rRNA from 1 species
UACGUAGGGGGCAAGCGUUGUCCGGAUUUAUUGGGCGUAAAGAGCGUGUAGGCGGCCAGGUAGGUCUGCUGUGAAAACUCGAGGCUUAACCUCGAGCUGUCGGCGGAAACCAUCUGGCUAGAGUCCGGAAGAGGAGAAUGGAAUUCCCGGUGUAGCGGUGAAAUGUGCAGAUAUCGGGAAGAACACCCGUGGCGAAGGCGGUUCUCUGGGACGGUACUGACGCUGAGACGCGAAAGCGUGGGGAGCGAACAGG